rnacentral:rRNA from 1 species
ACGCCCCCCAGUCUUAUGCGAGACACCACUGUGGGAUAUUGCACACUGGGGGAAAGCCCGAGACACCAACACCGCGUGAGAGAAGAGAAUUUUCGGAUUAUAAACAUUUGUUUUAACAGAGGAGCAAAUGACGGUACCUUAGGAGGAAGCCCCGGCUAACUACGUGCCAGCAGCCGCGGUAAUACGUAGGGGGCAAGCGUUAUCCGGAUUUACUGGGUGUAAAGGGAGCGCAGGCGGAGAAGCAAGUCAGAGGUGAAAGCGAUGGGCUCUAACUCAUGGACUGCCUUUGAAACUGUCUCCCUUGAGUGCAGUAGAGGCAGGCGGAAUUCCGAGUGUAGCGGUGAAAUGCGUAGAUAUUAGGAGGAACACCAGUGGCGAAGGCGGCUUGCUGGGCUUUAACUGACGGUGAGGCUCGAAAGUGUGGGGAGCAAACAGGAUUAGAUACCCUGGUAGUCCACACUGUAAACGAUGAUUACUAGGUGUGGGGGGUCUGCCCCCUUCCGUGCGCGAGUUACACCAUUAAUCUUUCCACUUGGGGAGUAGGUCGCCAGGGUGGAAAUUCAAAGGAAUGGAGGGGGGCCGCCCCAACCAGUGGUUUAGGUGUUUUAUUUGGAGGCAACGGGAGGACCUUUCCCGGGUCUGGCCUUCCAAUGAAUCAGUAGGAGUUCAGGGAGUGCCUUUCGGGGAAAGCAGAGACAGGUGGUGCAUGGUUGUCGUCAGCUCGUGUCGUGAGAUGUUGGGUUAAGUCCCGCAACGAGCGCAACCCCUACCAUUAGUUGCUACGCAAGAGCACUCUAAUGGGACCGCUGCUGACAAGGUGGAGGAAGGUGGGGACGACGUCAAAUCAUCAUGCCCCUUAUGUCCUGGGCUACACACGUAAUACAAUGGCCGUCAACAGCGGGAGGCAAAACCGCGAGGCAGAGCAAACCCCCAAAAACGGUCCCAGUUCGGAUCGCAGGCUGCAACUCGCCUGCAUGAAGUUGGAAUUGCUAGUAAUCGCGGAUCAGCAUGCCGCGGUGAAUACGUUCCCGGGCCUUGCACUCACCGCCCGUCA